ensembl:lncRNA
AUGCAAAUGGCAUGUGCUCCGUUUGCCUCCAGGACCUGCAGGAGCACAGCUGGCCUCAGUGUCAACAGGAUUCCUCAUGUGGGACGGAUCUGGAAGAAUCCAGGGCUCCGGCUGCACAUCCAGACGAAUCCAGCAACCACAAAGGACAUGGUCUGGGCUGCUACAGAACCAGCAGAGGGACAGAGGCAGCUGGAAGCGUCCAAGCAGACGGUUAGAGAUCAAGAGACUGAGCUGAAGGAAAUCCAAAAGGCAUCUCGUGGACUCAAGAACAGUAAGAUAUUCUGA